UCAUGUAUUAGUAGAGGUACAUCAAACUCGAGACCUCUGUAGAAGAAAUGGGCAGCUGCAACUGCGACAUAUGAAGCAAGAGGUGAAUAGUUGCGCAAAAAACUUGCGAGGUAAAGAAAAAUGCUGGGUACUAAUAUGGUUGUACUUGAUCAACUACCAACUUGGAGCAAGAUAGUAGAGGGAGUUCGCACUAGUCUGUGCAAG
rnacentral:lncRNA from 1 species